UACGGAGGAUCCAAGCGUUAUCCGGAAUCAUUGGGUUUAAAGGGUCCGUAGGCGGGGUAUUAAGUCAGUGGUGAAAGUCUGCAGCUCAACUGUAGAACUGCCAUUGAAACUGCUAUCCUUGAGUCAUUGUGAAGUGGUUGGAAUAUGUAGUGUAGCGGUGAAAUGCAUAGAUAUUACAUAGAACACCGAUUGCGAAGGCAGAUCACUAACAAUGUACUGACGCUGAUGGACGAAAGCGUAGGUAGCGAAC
rnacentral:rRNA from 1 species